rnacentral:lncRNA from 1 species
AAAAAGUCGGGGAGAGAAAUUUAAGCAUGUUCCGUUUAUUCUUUCCAAAUUUAUCAACCAGAUAAGUCAUUCCACUUCUUCUGAGGGAGUGAAGAAAGAGGCCAAGUUCAGAAUUGUACCAGUUGACUACCUUGACCUGGACAUAAGCACCAGAACGGUUGCACUCAACAACAAAGACUGUACUGGGAAUAGAAAGAUGAACAAGACAGUGCACUUCCCUUCAAAGAGCUUACAGAAUCACAACCAGCAGGAAGAUAAAAAGCAGAUGGAAUAGCAAUAACAACAACUAAAGGACAGAAAAACCUAGCAACCACAAGGCAAGAGCAAGAUAAAAAUAAGAAUAAUAAAAGAUAAAUGCACGAAUUCCUAAACACCUUCCUCCUCUUCUCUCAGGAGUUCCAAUGCCUGAAUAGGAAAAUAACAGACAUCCCAGAAGAAUACUGAACAAUGCAUACAAAUAAGUACAUCGCUGAAGAAGCAAACUGCCCAAUAAAGUCUUCAAUCUCUCUGGUGGUAAGAAUGAUCAGGGAAAUAAUAAGGUCAUUGUCAUUGGUUUCUUUGAGCUCUGGCUUGAGAAAAAAGAAGAACAUAGUUCUACGGAUGGAGGAUGAUUCUAUUUACAGAGGUUAGAUUUUUUUUUAUUGUAAACUUAUGAUAAAAGGAAUUUAAGUUUAAUGUAGGCAAGAGAUUACCAGAAGUAUGGGAAAAAUAAUCCCAAGAGAGAUUUGGAAUUAUUUAGGAAUUUUAAGAGUAAACUAACUGGCCGGUCGUGUUGGCUCACACCUGUAAUCCUAGCACUUUGGGAAGCUGAGGCUUGUAGAUUGCCUGAGCUCAGGAGUUCAAGACCACCCUGGGCAACAUGGUGAAACCCUGUCUCUACUAGAAAUACAAAAAAAGAAAAAAUUUUCUGGGUGUGGUGGUGUGCACCUGUAGUCCCAGCUACUCGGGAAGCUAAGGCACGAGAAUCACUUGAGCCCAGGAGGCAGAGGUUGCAGUGAGCCGAGAUUGCACCAAUUCACUCCAGCCUGGGUGACAGAGUGAGACUCCAUCUCAAAAAAAAAAAAAAAGAAAAGAGACACAANAAUAUANACANNNNNNNNNNNNNNNNNNNNAAAAAAAAAAANAAAAAAAAAGGAAGUAAGCCAACAAAUAUUAAUACACAUGUGCAAAGUCUAAGGGAAAUCAGUCCAGAAUAAAAAUAAAUAAAGGUAAAUCUCAGAAAGCACCUUCAAGAAGGUGGAUUAACGGGUCAGGCAUGGUGGCUCACGCCUGUAAUCCCAGCACUUUGGGAGGCUGAGGCAGAGGGACCACGAGGUCAGGAGAUCGAGACCAUCCUGGCUAGCAUGGUGAAACCCCAUCUCUACUAAAAUUAAAAAAUAAUAAAUAAAAAAAGAAGGAAAAGAAAGUGGAUUAAAAGCACCAAGUAGUCUUAUCCUCCACAAAGGGGAACCAAAAUAGUGAGAAGAUAACUGCAAUGCAAAUACAUAAUGUAAGAAAGAACACUGGAAUUCAACAGAGAAGCUACAGGAAACACCUAAAAUAAGCACGGAGAGGGAAGCAUGGCAGUCUACUUCUCUGGGAUCAUCCAGUAGCCUGGAGAGAUUCUCCAUUGCAGUCAAGGAUAAGUGAGUCACCCAUAGGGCUUCACAUUUCCACUAUGGACUCUUGCAUCCUGGGCAUGGGAAAGCCCCUAGACCCUUGCAGUCCCUAAGACUAGCAUAAGGAGUUGCAUGGAGGCAGUAUGAAAACAUUGUUCCAGACAGGGAGCUCACACUGAGUCCAACACAUUCUAAGCUAAGAAGCUACUGAAAGACAGCAUAUUUAGAGCCCAGCCUCCACCAGACUGCAUCCUGCCUGGAGGUCCAACAGUGCUUGCAUCCCCACAUCUCUAGAGCCUUCAGAGAUUCCCCACCUUCAGCCACCACCAUGGCUGGAUACUGCAUCCAGGGCUGAAGUAUGAGCUUUUGGCAAAUACCCUGUUGCCCCAGGAGUGAUGUCACUUCACAUUUUCAUGCACUCUGAGGGCAAACUCUGCAACUAGCAGUAGCCAUCACUACAAGCUGUCACAUCCAGGGUUGAAACACAAGUGAAGCACAUACUCCUCAGCUGUCUGCCUAUGACUGUUGUCCCUGAAAGCACACCUGUUCUCCCCAAUAGUAGGUCUACAGUGCAGCCACUGCUGCUGCCACCCUCACCCAGAGCAUUCUGCUGUGGGCCCUGGGCUCAAUCUGCUGCUGCCUACCACAGCCAGUGCCUAUCCA